CAGAGGUCCCGAGCGUUGUUCGGAUUCACUGGGCGUAAAGGGUACGUAGGUGGUGAGGUAAGUCGGAUGUGAAAUCUCCGGGCUCAACCCGGAAAUGGCAUUGGAAACUACCUUGCUGGAGGAUUUGAGGGGGGAUUGGAAUACUUGGUGUAGCAGUGAAAUGCGUAGAUAUCAAGUGGAACACCAGUGGCGAAGGCGAAUCCCUGGAAAAUACCUGACACUGAGGCACGAAAGCUAGGGGAGCAAACAGGAUUAGAUACCCUGGUAGUCCUAGCCCUAAACGGUGCUUGCUUGCUGUAAGAGGAAUCGACCCCUCUUGUGGCGGAGCUAACGCGUUAAGCAAGCCGCCUGGGAAGUACGGUCGCAAGAUUA
rnacentral:rRNA from 1 species